rfam:Desulfotomaculum ferrireducens strain GSS09, complete genome.
UAGUUUCUUCGUUAGGUGAGGCUUCUACAUAGACAUAUGCCACUGCCCGGACUGUCGAGAGACUCUAACGGGCCAACAGGUUCUACCGGCUUAAGGUUUUACCUAAUGUGGCUGGGUUAAUUAACCCUAGCUAUGUAUGUGCUAAAGCUUGUACGAGUGAAGAAGGUA